AAGAAGAAAGGAGAGAAAACUUUUCUUCUUCUUCUUCUCUCCGUUUUUUCUUCUCUUUUUUUUUUUCUUUCUCUUUCUG
rnacentral:ribozyme from 13 species